rnacentral:piRNA from 3 species
UUCUCACUACUGCACUUGACUAGUCUUAA